GUGCUUGCUUCGACAGCACAUAUACUAAAAUUGGAACAACACAGAAAAGUAGCGUGGCUUCUGGGCAAGGAUGGCAUGCAAAUUUCAUGAAACGUACAAUUUUUAU